UGGGGAAUCUUGGACAAUGGGGGCAACCCUGAUCCAGCCAUGCCGCGUGAGUGAUGAAGGCCUUAGGGUCGUAAAGCUCUUUCGCCUGUGAAGAUAAUGACGGUAGCAGGUAAAGAAACCCCGGCUAACUCCGUGCCAGCAGCCGCGGUAAUACGGAGGGGGUUAGCGUUGUUCGGAAUUACUGGGCGUAAAGCGCACGUAGGCGGACCAGAAAGUUGGGGGUGAAAUCCCGGGGGCUCAACCCCGGAACUGCCUCCAAAACUAUUGGUCUAGAGUUCGAGAGAGGUGAGUGGAAUUCCAAGUGUAGAGGUGAAAUUCGUAGAUAUUUGGAGGAACACCAGUGGCGAAGGCGGCUCACUGGCUCGAUACUGACGCUGAGGUGCGAAAGUGUGGGGAGCAAACAGGAUUAGAUACCCUGGUAGUCCACACCGUAAAACGAUGAAUGCCAGUCGUCGGGUAGCAUGCUAUUCGGUGACACACUUAACGGAUUAAGCAUUCCGGCCUGGGGAGUACGGUCGCAAGAUUAAAACUCAAAGGAAUUG
rnacentral:rRNA from 1 species